GAUGAGAUUCAAAAGACCUUCCCUUUACGAUUUGAAAUUGGUGUGUUUGUGUGUGAAUUGGGAACAAAAUACAAAGAGAAACUGUGUGUGUGUGUGUGUGUGAAUUGGCGCGACCCCAAAGGGAGAAAGAGGGGAGAGAGAAGGGGUAGAGGGGUCACACCGAGAAAAGGAGGAGGAAAUUCAGUCAAACACUGAACGAUGUGAAGAAGGGAGAGAUUUAGCUAUGGAAUAAAGCAAGUCCGGGUGGGUUGUGGUUACACAGGGACUUUGGUUCUGGUAAUCUGAAUGAAUUU
rnacentral:lncRNA from 1 species